CAGUCGCCACGGGAAUACGAAGGGUGCAAGCGUUACUCGGAAUUACUGGGCGUAAAGCGUGCGUAGGUGGUUCGUUAAGUCUGAUGUGAAAGCCCUGGGCUCAACCUGGGAAUUGCAUUGGAUACUGGCGAGCUAGAGUGCGGUAGAGGGUAGUGGAAUUCCCGGUGUAGCAGUGAAAUGCGUAGAGAUCGGGAGGAACAUCUGUGGCGAAGGCGACUGCCUGGACCAGCACUGACACUGAGGCACGAAAGCGUGGGGAGCAAACAGGAUUAGAUACCCGCGUAGUCCCUGUCUCUUAUAC
rnacentral:rRNA from 1 species